AAGAUAAUGACGGUACCCGCAGAAGAAGCCCCGGCUAACUCCGUGCCAGCAGCCGCGGUAAUACGGAGGGUGCAAGCGUUGUCCGGAUUUAUUGGGUUUAAAGGGUGCGUAGGUGGCCCAUUAAGUCAGUGGUGAAAUGCUGCAGCUUAACUGUAGCACUGCCAUUGAUACUGGUGGGCUUGAGUAUUGUCGAGGCAGGCGGAAUUUAUGAUGUAGCGGUGAAAUGCAUAGAUAUCAUAAAGAACACCGAUAGCGAAGGCAGCUUGCUAGGCAGUAACUGACACUAAUGCACGAAAGCGUGGGUAGCGAACAGGAUUAGAUACCCUGGUAGUCCACGCCGUAAAC
rnacentral:rRNA from 1 species